CACUGAACAUUGAGCCUUGAUGUGUAGGAUAGGUGGGAGGCUUUGAAGUGUGGACGCCAGUCUGCAUGGAGCCGACCUUGAAAUACCACCCUUUAAUGUUUGAUGUUCUAACGUGGACCCGUGAUCCGGGUUGCGGACAGUGUCUGGUGGGUAGUUUGACUGGGGCGGUCUCCUCCUAAAGAGUAACGGAGGAGCACGAAGGUUGGCUAAUCCUGGUCGGACAUCAGGAGGUUAGUGCAAUGGCAUAAGCCAGCUUGACUGCGAGCGUGACGGCGCGAGCAGGUGCGAAAGCAGGUCAUAGUGAUCCGGUGGUUCUGAAUGGAAGGGCCAUCGCUCAACGGAUAAAAGGUACUCCGGGGAUAACAGGCUGAUACCGCCCAAGAGUUCAUAUCGACGGCGGUGUUUGGCACCUCGAUGUCGGCUCAUCACAUCCUGGGGCUGAAGUAGGUCCCAAGGGUAUGGCUGUUCGCCAUUUAAAGUGGUACGCGAGCUGGGUUUAGAACGUCGUGAGACAGUUCGGUCCCUAUCUGCCGUGGGCGCUGGAGAACUGAGGGGGGCUGCUCCUAGUACGAGAGGACCGGAGUGGACGCAUCACUGGUGUUCGGGUUGUCAUGCCAAUGGCACUGCCCGGUAGCUAAAUGCGGAAGAGAUAAGUGCUGAAAGCAUCUAAGCACGAAACUUGCCCCGA
rnacentral:rRNA from 1 species